CAGUUUAUACCUGAGGGCCUGGAUCAGAGACAACAUAAUAUUCUCUGUCACUAAGAGACAGUUUAUACCUGAGGGCCUGGAUCAGAGACAACAUAAUAUUCUCUGUCACUAAGAGACAGUUUAUACCUGAGGGCCUGGAUCAGAGACAACAUAAUAUUCUCUGUCACUAAGAGACAGUUUAUACCUGAGGGCCUGGAUCAGAGACAACAUAAUAUUCUCUGUCACUAAGAGACAGUUUAUACCUGAGGGCCUGGAUCAGAGACAACAUAAUAUUCUCUGUCACUAAGAGACAGUUUAUACCUGAGGGCCUGGAUCAGAGACAACAUAAUAUUCUCUGUCACUAAGAGACAGUUUAUACCUGAGGGCCUGGAUCAUAAGUUGCUGGAGCCCUUUGGGAGUGCAGGCAACUCUCUGUCCAGCAGCUGUCAAUCAAUAGACCAAGCAUUGGACAGCCCUCCUUUUUCCCAGAACAACCGAGACAACAGCUAUCUGAGCCUCAAACUAUGAAGG